AUUGAACGCUGGCGGCAGGCCUAACACAUGCAAGUCGAGCGGAUGAAGGGAGCUUGCUCCUGGAUUCAGCGGCGGACGGGCGAGUAAUGCCUAGGAAUCUGCCUGGUAGUGGGGGAUAACGUCCGGAAACGGGCGCCAAUACCGCAUACGUCCUGAGGGAGAAAGUGGGGGAUCUUCGGACCUCACGCUAUCAGAUGAGCCUAGGUCGGAUUAGCUAGUUGGUGGGGUAAAGGCCUACCAAGGCGACGAUCCGUAACUGGUCUGAGAGGAUGAUCAGUCACACUGGAACUGAGACACGGUCCAGACUCCUACGGGAGGCAGCAGUGGGGAAUAUUGGACAAUGGGCGAAAGCCUGAUCCAGCCAUGCCGCGUGUGUGAAGAAGGUCUUCGGAUUGUAAAGCACUUUAAGCUGGGAGGAAGGGCAGUAAGUUAAUACCUUGCUGUUUUGACGUUACCAACAGAAUAAGCACCGGCUAACUUCGUG
rnacentral:rRNA from 1 species